CAAAAGGACAAGAAAGACAGAAAAGACUCCCAGGGAGGCGAGACUCCGCCUGCAGCGACUGCUUCACUCCGCAUGGGCCACCAUCCCCAUCUGGAUCACCUUUACUACGGCAUCUUCACUUCUUCCUGUCACCUCUUCUGGACCAGAUUCUACCCUAAAAUGCUUUGCUAAAGCUGGUAAAAUGGAACCAAAUCAACUGUUCAAUGGAUUUGGUCCCCUUCAACCAGCUGUAGCUGUGCAUUGAUCACCCCAAUCCACAUUCAGAGUGACAAGAAAAAAACACCCCUGAAAGACUGGAGUUAAUUAAUCAGAAAACAGCUUUAAAUCUAAAACUGAGGUUAGAUUGGCUUCUUUAUUGGACUAAGAUACAAAGCCAUUCAUGGAUAAUACACAUGAUGCACCAGUUACUGCUUGGAUUUAUCUCAAUCAUUCAGUUUGCCCAAAAGACACUCAAGUAAUUUGCUUAAUCUGAGUAAAACAAGGCAGGUAAGUAAUUAUAGAUACUACAUCUUGUCAAAUUUGUGCUUUUUGAUGUGCGCUGCUGUAAUUGCGUUGUCCUUUGGAGACUUACUUUAUUGUUCUUUCCAGAUUUGUCAAAACGUGUGCUUCUUCUAAAGGGUGGCAUUGCUGAAAACUUUGAGAAAAGAUGCUGUGUACGAAAAGUACUGGUGGAAAUACAUGCAUGUACAGAUGUGUCAAUGACACCAAAGCAAAUGUCUAAUCAAUAAAGCCUAAUCCUAG
ensembl:lncRNA